UACGUAGGGGGCUAGCGUUAUCCGGAAUUACUGGGCGUAAAGGGUGCGUAGGCGGCCCGACAAGUCAGAGGUGAAAGGCUACGGCUCAACCGUAGUAAGCCUUUGAAACUGUAGGGCUUGAGUGCAGGAGAGGAGAGUGGAAUUCCCAGUGUAGCGGUGAAAUGCGUAGAUAUUGGGAGGAACACCAGUUGCGAAGGCGACUCUCUGGACUGUAACUGACGCUGAGGCACGAAAGCGUGGGGAGCGAACAGG
rnacentral:rRNA from 1 species